ACUGAGAGUCACAGGCAAUGUAAACAAGCGCUAUAUUUCUCUAUAAACGAUGGUGUCUGUACUGCCUUACCACUUCAAGCUCGAUCCAGAGAGUUCAGACGGCCGUUACGAUGUAAACGAUCUCCGUCAAUGAACGCGAUUGGAUUUAACUUUUUUUAGGUGUCCUUAGCUCUGCCAGAAUGCUAAACGAAGACGAAAAUGUGUUGCAAAGACAUCCAAAAGGUUUUAAGGAGAAUGUAACAGGUUCCAGGGCCUCUUACCUGCGUGAUUCAUCAUCCAGGUUUUGCACAAAUUGUCUAAAUCCCUACACACAGAACAUUUAUUGUACCGACUAUAAGCCUUUGAGGUGCAGGACUAGAAUACGCUUGGAGCUUCCUGAUCAGAUCGGUCACAAUUUUGGCUUUCGACGACCCCUGCACUGAAGAUGGCAUGCAAUCACGUCCUCCUUUGAAGGUCUCUCAAACUGUGAUGCCAGGUCCAUUGGAAUCG